AUUGAACGCUGGCGGCAUGCCUUACACAUGCAAGUCGAACGGCAGCACGGGAGCAAUCCUGGUGGCGAGUGGCGAACGGGUGAGUAAUAUAUCGGAACGUGCCCAGUCGUGGGGGAUAACGUAGCGAAAGCUACGCUAAUACCGCAUACGAUCUACGGAUGAAAGCGGGGGAUCGCAAGACCUCGCGCGAUUGGAGCGGCCGAUAUCAGAUUAGGUAGUUGGUGAGGUAAAGGGCUCUACCAAGCCGACGAU
rnacentral:rRNA from 1 species